GAGCUCCGCUCCGCAGUGGGCCGAGCGGCGGGUCGCCGCUCUCCGUGAGGCUCCCGAAGGCCUCUGGAGCACAGGCCGACCAUCAGCGCUUCCUCACUGCUGGUUACUGUUCGUUUUCCUUUUUAGGGACUGAAUCGGUCUUCAUACAAGCUUCCGAAAUAGGGCUUUCACUUGUACACGUCGGGAUGACCGCUACAGAGGAAAAGAAUAUCGGAGUACCCGUCAUAGUGUGGCAUUCGCUAAACGCCUCCGCGUGGUGGGAGAUGAGUCUAGGAAGAAAUACCUCCAGUCCACCGGCGAGGCAGACAGGACUCAGUCCAAGGAGGACUGGACACAGAUGAAAGUUAAGAUGGGCACAGCUCUAGAUGGCCCAUAGCUUGGGGUUCAUCUCAGAAGGAGGGACUUCAUUUGGGGUCACAGAGAAGACAUCCCUUCCCUGCAAGGAGCAGGAAAGAAAAUCCAGAGCCUCUUGGAGAGGCACACACUUGAGUAUUUUAUAGGCAUAUUUCAACAUUUUCCUUCCUAAUCCACGAGUAAAGGGAGAUGUUGGGAUUUGAUCCAAAAGAUCUUACAACCGAUUUUGUGGUGAAACAGAGAAAAACCGUGAGCAGCCAACUCACUGGAAAACUGUAUGUUAAACGCAGAGAAGCACAAAGUGUUUGAUGCUGUUAGAGUUCAAAAUAACAAGGAAAAAUGAUGGGGAAUUUACCUGCCUUGGAACAAAGUAUGACCCCACCUGUACUCUCAGCUCCUGCUCCCCUUCCAGCGUGGCUGUGACCUGGGCUGACAAUACCGCUUGGUGUCUCUGGACCUCAUAUCUACGUGGCUGCUGCACCCGGGUCCCCAGUACGUCCUGCUCUGGCCGCCUUCCCCGAGCAGUCUCAGGUGAACCAAGCGGGUGCUACAGACCACAGGGGCCUCUUGGCUGCAGAGCUGGGUGAUGGGAGACAACAAAGCAAUGCCCAGGAUGCAGCUGUUCAAGCCAGCCUCGCCUCACGGAGCAUUUCUUUCUCACCUGUCCAUGGUUCUCUCUCUGUGUGUCUGUGGUCCUUUUUAAACUGCAGGGCUGGGAGGCCUGGCCAUUCCACCGGGACUGCUCACCCUGGGAGCACCAGUCUCUACCUUGGGAGGAAGCAAGCUGCCACCAGAAUAAAAGCAGGGUGGAGCUGCUCCCACUCCAAGGCAAGAGCCUGCAAGGCCCAUCCUUUGGGGACUCGUCUUUUGUGUGAAGGCACAUUGUCUAGCAGAGGAAGAGGUUGGUACCUGGUGGAGCAGGGCCAAGAUUCCAUUUUCCCCAGGCAGCUCCCUCCUCUGCCUGCUGUAGCGCUGGCCAGGACUGGGAGAGGAGGGGGAGUGUGUUCAGCACUGCUGCUGGAACGGAGUGGCCCUCUCAGGAGGAUCCCGGUUGCUUCAGGACCUUGCUUUUGCACUGGUUUGUGUCCACAAAGGAAAGGCAUGCAGAAGGCAGAACCAUCACCCCAGCCCUGCAGUCAGGAGUCCAUCAGCUUUCCCCACAGUGAACGUGGUUAAGGUCUCCUUAACCAAAGGAAAACUCAGCACCACUACAGAUGUACAGAACAGCAAUUUAUCCACUCCGACACACUUUUCCCAUUAUGUGUCCAGAAGACUCCAAGUACUGACUUUACAUGUCCACAAGCGUGGCCAAAGCCACACAUACAGAGCAACACCAAGUUUUCAAGGUGUACCAAGAGAAACAAAGAUUUAAUAACAUUAUUUCUUAGACAACUGUUGGGGAUGAAGUCAAAUGUAAAGAAAAAAUGGAAAUGUAAAAAAUCAUGGAUGUUAGUGCACACAGAUAGAGAGUUUCUGCUUUUGAGCUCCGCAGAUGUUUUUUUCUUUCCUCUUUCCCUUCUUGUGUGAGCUGCCUUUGAGUCAGUUAUGUUAUGUUGAGCUCUUGUGGGCACAGAGCGGUACUGCCGCUGUGCCCCGACCGGGGCCCUGCCCCGCUCCGCUGGGUGACGGGGGGGAGGCGGCAGCGGGAGCUACGGCAGUUCCGCGGCUGCCGAGCCUGGGGAGGGAGUGAGCGGGGCGGUGUCUGUAAAUAGCAGGGAGGGGUGAAAUAGCGUUAAGUGUGUAAAGUGACACGGCUGGGAGCAGGGACACUGCGCUAAAAGGAGCGGCGGCCGUGCAGGCCGGCGGCUAAGAAUAGCAGCAGUGGCGGGCGGCAGAUCAGUUUCAGCUUCACGGACGGACUGCGGGGAGAAGGACGGUGAGCAGCGGACCCGCAGCAGGCGAGGGGCGGGCACUUAGGUAUUUUGCUAAGGUGUUUACCUCGGCCAGCACCUAAUCGGGCAGUCCAAGUCCCCGCAGAAGAGGAACCGCUGCGAGGGAAGAGGCGCUCAGAGCCCGCAGCGAGCUGUGCACGCCCUCCCCACCGCCGCUCCCUGCUCCGCGCUGCCAUCGCAGAUUUGCGAGCUGGCACCACACCCGGGAGAGCUGGCGGCUACGCCCCUCCCCGACCCCUGCCCCGAGUGCCGCUGGGGCGCUCCGAUAGAGGCUCUGCGGGGGCCUUUUAGGCGGGACCAGGGCAAUAGAGAGGGCCGGAGAAGGGGACGGGAGUCUGGCGAGAGGGGCCCAGGGCGACCGCGGACCCUGCGAGCACCCCUGGCUCCGCCCAACUGAGCACCUCGCGCUCCCAUGGGCCGCAGCCUCAAAGCUUCCGCCAAUCCCGGUGGAUUGGUUCUAGGUUAUGGUUCUAGGUCAGGGUUCUAGGUUAUGGUUCUAGGUCAUGGUUCUAGGUUAGGGUUCUAGGUUAUGGUUCUAGGUCAGGGUUCUAGGUCAGGUUCUAGGUUAUGGUUCUAGGUUAUGGUUCUAGGUGGCCAAUCACAGCCGCCCUUUGAAUCCAGGCGCGGUCCCGCCAAGCUCAGCCCGCUCAGUCGUGGCCCGUUGCCGCUCCCCCGUUUUGCUGGGGUGCCGCUCCGGCCGCUGUCGCUUUGGGAGCCGGCGGAGCCGAGCUGCCGCAGCCCCAAGAGGUGCUGUUGGGUCCCGGGAA